rnacentral:tRNA from 1 species
GGGGAUGUAGCUCAGAUGGUAGAGCGCUUGCUUCGCAUAUGAGAGGUACGGGGAUCAGUACCCCGCUUUUCCA